GGACGAACGCUGGCGGCGUGCCUAACACAUGCAAGUCGAGCGAGGAGAUCCUUCGGGAUGAUCCUAGCGGCGGACGGGUGAGUAACACGUGGGCAACCUGCCUCAGUAGAGAGGAAUAGCCUUCCGAAAGGGAGAUUAAUACCUCAUAACAUUGCAGUUUCGCAUGAAACAGCAAUUAAAGGAGCAAUCCGCUAUGAGAUGGGCCCGCGGCGCAUUAGCUAGUUGGUGAGGUAACGGCUCACCAAGGCGACGAUGCGUAGCCGACCUGAGAGGGUGAUCGGCCACAUUGGGACUGAGACACGGCCCAGACUCCUACGGGAGGCAGCAGUGGGGAAUAUUGCACAAUGGGGGAAACCCUGAUGCAGCCAACGCCGCGUGAGUGAUGACGGCCUUCGGGUUGUAAAGCUCUGUCUUCAGGGACGAUAAUGACGGUACCUGAGGAGGAAGCCACGGCUAACUACGUGCCAGCAGCUGC
rnacentral:rRNA from 1 species